rnacentral:rRNA from 1 species
GACGAACGCUGGCGGCGUGCUUAACACAUGCAAGUCGAACGGAAAGGCCCUGCUUUUGUGGGGUGCUCGAGUGGCGAACGGGUGAGUAACACGUGAGUAACCUGCCCUUGACUUUGGGAUAACUUCAGGAAACUGGGGCUAAUACCGGAUAGGAGCUCCUGCUGCAUGGGGGGGGUUGGAAAGUUUCGGCGGUUGGGGAUGGACUCGCGGCUUAUCAGCUUGUUGGUGGGGUAGUGGCUUACCAAGGCUUUGACGGGUAGCCGGCCUGAGAGGGUGACCGGCCACCUUGGGACUGCGAUACGGCCCAGACUCCUACGGGAGGCAGCAGUGGGGAAUAUUGCACAAUGGGCGGAAGCCUGAUGCAGCAACGCCGCGUGCGGGAUGACGGCCUUCGGGUUGUAAACCGCUUUCGCCUGUGACGAAGCGUGAGUGACGGUAAUGGGUAAAGAAGCACCGGCUAACUACGUG